CUAGACGAUCUACAUUUACAAACAUCUAAUGUUUGUUGUAUGUUUGCUUUUUCUUAAAAACACACCCAUUUUAUAAUGCCUAUUUUUGAAGGGCAUGCGAGGACAAGUUUUAUAUUAGUAUAAAUUUACAUGACUUCUGUAUGGAGUUGUGCACUUUGAAAUAAUGUUAAUAGAAUGGUUGAUAGUUUUAACAUUUCUGUACAUUUCAAGACGUUUUUAAUGUAAUUUUUCGUGUUAUGUAUAUUUUUAAACAGCUGUAUAAAUUUCAUAAUUAUUCAAGUACAGCGUUUAAAUAAUUGUGAUAUUCACCUUAUAUAAAGAUCUUAGAUGUUUUGUUAUUUUCACAUAACGCAAACAAAAUCUUCCAAAGGAUAAUUAGCCUUCAUUAUAAGUGUUGGGUAGCUUUCGCCACAAAUAAAAAUAAUUCUUGUAUGUUGCCUAAUGGACAUAUCAAAACAUAAACUUCCGCACGAAAAUAAGCUGAAAAUAAUAGCUCAUGCAAAUUAACCAGAGUUCCUUUCGGUUAUAGCUUCAUUGAUGGUGACAACAACAAAGCCAAUAUCACAUUUUAAUUAACGUCACAAACGAUGGGUGGUCACACUUUUCAAGUUUGGUAUAGACAAAAGAAAGGUCAAAACCAUUUUAGGCUUGGACUACUGGGAUCUCUAUCAAAACAUUUAUCCUUUCUGUAACAAAGUAAAGAAUACAAGAAGCUAACUUUUGGUAAAGGAUUUCAUACAUUACAGAUCUCUAACUGAAAAUAGGAAAAGAUAUAUCCCCAAGGCUCAAAGGUUGGUGAAAGUUUUUCUUAUUCUCUCGAUAAUACACGUGUCAUGUAUGGCAUAAGAAAGUAGAAUCGGCAUUCAAUUAUUUAAGUUGAAAGCUUACUGCCAUAUUAACAUACUCAAGAUCAUCUAACACCAAA